rnacentral:rRNA from 1 species
GACGAACGCUGGCGGCGUGCCUAAUACAUGCAAGUAGAACGCAGUUGCGACCGGGUGAGUAACGCGUAGGUAACUGCCUCCUCGCGGGGGAUAACUAUUGGAAACGAUAGCUAAUACCGCAUACUGUGAGAUGGACCUGCGUUGUAUUAGCUAGUUGGUGAGGUAAAGGCGCACCAAGGCGACGAUACAUAGCCUACCUGAGAGGGUGAUCGGCAACACGGGGACUGAGAAAAGGCCCAGACGUAGACGGGAGGCAGAAGUAGGGAAUCUUCGGAAAUGGACGGAAGUCUGACAGAGAAACGACGCGGGAGGGAAGAAGGGUUUCGGAUCGUAAAGCUCUGUUGUUAGGGAAGGGGUAACUAACCAGAAAGGGACGGCUAACUACGUGCCAGCCGCCGCGGUAAUAC